UACAGAAAGCUCACCUGUGAGGGGAUGACAUUGCCUGCACUAUCCACUCAUUACAGAGGUUCUGUGCAGUGCACUAGCCUCUCGCCCCAAUGACACGUUCACAACGCGCGUUACACUUCGUCGUCCUUACAGAGACCCGGAUCAUACCUGAUAACAUCGCCUCUCCCACCGCCCUUCCUCUCUCAGGCCCCGUCCGGCUGUGGUGGUGGUACAGGUCCCCUGGGAAGUUUCCUCGGUGAGUUUGACACCCUACUCAGCUCGUUCCCAAAGGACGACACCCCGCUAAUCCUCCUGGGAGAUUUCGAUACCCACCAGGAAGCCUCCCAGUCUUCCCUCUGCUACUCCAGUCCUUCGCCCUCUAUCUGAAAUACUCUCCCCCAACCUGACAAUUUACACAGCGCUACUGUAUUUUCAAAAUACAAAAUGGCCUAAUGUAUUUUUUAAAACAGUGUAAUGACCACCACGUUGUGGAUUAUUCUUUACAUAAAUGGUAAAUGGUUGGCAUUUAUAUAGCGCCUUUAUCCAAAGCGCUGUACAAUUGAUGCUUCUCAUUCACCCAUUCAUACACACACUGACAGCAAUUGGCUGCCAUGCAAGGCACCAACCUGCUCGUCAGGAGCAUUUGGGGGUUAGGUGUCUUGCUCAGGGACAUUUCGACACAGCCCGGGCGGGGGAUCGAACCGGCAACCCUCCGACUGCCAGACUUACUGCCUGAGCCAUGUCGCCCCCAUAAUAAUAAUAAUCAUAAUCAUAAUCAUAAUAAUAAUAUGUUUUAUCUCAAAGCAGUAUAGCCUAUAUAAAUGAUAUUAAACAAGUCAAUGUUUAAAAUAGUUUAGCAAGGCUAAAAAAAAUCAGGGAUACUAACACUGAGGGGUAUACUGUAUAAUAGAUAAUCAGUUGUGGGUAAUUAGUAACAGUCCUAUGUUGAUUUUCCCUUUGCGGUCUCAGAACACAGUCACUGUGUUUCAUGGGGUGUUUUUUGAAGAACAAAGAGAGUUUCCUUGGUCAUUCUGGUUUGCGUGAAUUUUUUCACGUAAUAUACAGUACACCAGACCGUGGGAGUAAACCUGGCCCUGAAUGGAGGGGAAUGAGCCAGCUGUGUAAGAAUGACACGGCACUACUCACAUCCCUGCGUUGGUCUGGAAGGCGAAUAUUAAGCUGUACUGCGAUUUCUGAGAAUUAGGCCUAUGCUGUAUCACUUGAUUAUCCAGACAGCUGUGAAGUCAGCACAUGAAGGCUAAAUGCAAUCUUAUAAGCAAAGAGACUGUAGAGGCACAGUCAGGGGUUUGGGCAGAGGCACUGUCUGGGGUUUUGGGAGGCUGGGGGGAGGGUAUUACAAUGAUUCCAAGGACCCUGACUGACAGAUAGCUUAAAUUAGAAUAUAGGAUUUUCUAGGGGCCCAAUGUGAAAUGUUUUCAUGACGUCCAAAAUCCCUGGUGACACCCCUGGUUGUCCACAGACCAAGGUUAUAUGCUAUGCUAAGGGUAAAACCUGUGGGAUUUCUGAAUUUUGACAGCUGACUAUCUAGGAGUUCUGCGUAGUUAUGUUGUAUUAUCCCACAAACACCAAUACUUCUGCAAUUCUUCUUGCAGUUUUUUCCUCGUCAGGAUGGGACCAAGUCAGUCGUCUUUACACACGUGAAAGGAACAACAGUUGCUACUGACAACUUUCCUUCCUACAAAUUUCACUUUAUUGCCUGCUAUAUGUAUGCGAGAGCUUUCUUGGAUUAGCAUUUUUUAAGGAAUUGGACAAAACCUAGUAACCAAUAACCAUGAAUCCUGAGAAUUACCAGCUUCCCACAAUCUGCUGCACUUGAAUAAUUUAAUUCGAGCAGAGGAAUUGAGUUUAAUCGAUUUCUAUGCCUAAAUUCUCUCGCUCAGUCCUAUCUUUUAUUGUCUGUGUGUCUUGGCUGGAAAUGAUAUUUAAAUGGAGAACUGUCUUCACUUAUUUUGCUGGAAUAGCAUUCAGCUCUUUAUUAAAAACCAUAUGGUUUUCUGCUCUCUUUUUUGUUUCAGCAUGUAGAUAAAUGUACUCUUUGUUCCCUCUGCCCUCAACGAAGACAUCUGGACAACAUGAGCAUUAGUAAAUACUUGCAGAUUCUCCAUUUAAAUUACUCAUGAAAAGUAAAGAUUUUCUGGUUUGUUUGGUAGCUUUGCACCGGUAAAACUGUACAAGAUACAAGAAAUAGAUUUGAUCACAUUUUUCUGCCUUAUUUAAAUCUUGGAUUUAAAGUGACAUGAAGAAAUUGAGUGUUCCCAUACAGUAUACAGUUAAAAGAAAUAGGCAGAUUAUUUUGUAUGUUUGCACUCUUAUUAAUCAAGAUAAAUAAAUGGACACUUAGCAGUGUUUGCUUGCAGCUUCCUCUACAGCCUUUCAUGCUCAACAGCUGCUGCUUUAAUCAUUUUAGUACUAUUUUGUUACAGUACUAUGGAGGUUUUCAGAUAUUGUAACCUGUAAUAUAAACCAGGGGUGGGCAAUUCCAUAAGGGCAGUGAGUAUAUAUGUGUUUCUUUCCACCUGCCUCAAUAAGAUAAUCAUUAGGUUUGCUGGUUCAUUCAUAAAAAUGUUUUUUAAGCCAUGAUUCAUGAAUAUAUUUUGUUCAAAUAGUUAAAAGGCAACAUAACUGAGAGCAGAAGUUGGCAUAAACCUCAGAAACAAAUCAAGCCACCCCCCCCAUAUAAACCAUACUCUUCUGCCGCACUUGAAACAUAUGACUAACAGGAAGACAGAAAGAUAGAACAUGCUUAAAUAGAAGUACUUCUGUAUAUCAAUGAUUAACUGAAAGAGCCAGACAAAUUGACAUACAUCAGUAUGGAUACAAUCAUCCCAAACGUUACAGCAGUUUAGUGGUUUCCUUUUCCAAGGCUGGGCCGUCAUGGCAUAAUUAGCCCACUUAAAAUGACACAAGUCUGGGGGAGGACAGGAUAAGGGAGCUUUUGUUCCCUGCUGUUUUUACUGUGCUGUUGUUCUAUGACAUCACUUCCUGUGAUGGGCGGGUGCCAAGCUGAAGGUGGCUUACUUGUUGGGUGGAAAGACUCCCACGGUUUGGCCCCAUGAUUCACGCACAGACUCGAACAGGGAGGUGGGGCCUCCGUGUCUAUGGGCACAUCAGUUAACUUGAUCCAGCCGCUGGACUUGGACGUCCCAGCAUACACUAUGCGUCUCCCUCCUCUUCAUCUGGUUCCCAGCACAUGAUGAAUCUCCUCUGUCCACAUGGCCAAUCCUGCUGCUCUUUUUCCUGCUGCUCUGCUGCCACACAAUUCUCUGAUUAAAUAACCGUACGUAGGUGUACAGAUGCUCCUAAUAAAGAGCUUACUGAGUGUUUUCUCUACAUCCAUCACAGUUGCUAAAGAAGCCUUUUCCAAGAAACCCAAACUGUUUUCUUAAUUUCUCCUCCCUCCUA